GAUGAAGAACGUAGCGAAAUGCGAUAAGUAGUGUGAAUUGCAGAAUUCAGUGAAUCAUCGAAUCUUUGAACGCAUAUUGCGCUCUUUGGUAUUCCGAAGAGCAUGCUUGUUUGAGUAUCAGUAAACACCUCAAAGCUUUUGGAUUUUUUAAUCGAAAAGCUUUGGACUUGAGCAAUCCCAACACCAAUCUUUUUGAGAUCGGUGGCGGGUUGCUUGAAAUGCAGGUGCAGCUGGACAUUCUCCUGAGCUAAAAGCAUAUUCAUUUAGUCCCGUCAAACGGAUUAUUACUUUUGCUGCAGCUAACAUAAAGGGAGUUUGACCGUAUUGGCUGACUGAUGCAGGAUUUCACAAGGGUCGGCAACGAUUCUUGUUAAACUCGAUCUCAAAUCAAGUAAGACUACCCUCUGAACUUAAGCAUAUCAAUAAGCGGAGGA
rnacentral:misc_RNA from 1 species